AACUGCUCUUUCAUCUCGUGUUCGUUCGAACAACAAACACUCUCACACAACUGCUCUCUCAUAUUCUAUCUAUUCAAUAACAACUUUUUCUAUAAUUUCAUUUCAUCGUUAGGGUUUCAUUUCAUCGCGCGAUAUGGGAGAACGAAAGCGAAUUCCUCUUGGAAUCUUUGCACUUCUCUUUUUCGUCAUUUCUACCUCUUCGUUACAUCUUCUCCAUGCUUCCGAUGAUAUCUAUGACGCUACCUUCUACGAAUCAUUUGAUGAAGAUUUUGAUGGCCGUUGGAUUGUUUCCGAGAAGGAUGAGUACAACGGUGUCUGGAAGCAUGCAGCGAAUGAGGGGCAUGAAGAUUACGGGCUUCUUGUCAGUGAGAAAGCAAGGAAAUAUGCUAUAGUCAAAGAACUUGAUGAGCCUGUGAUUCUUAAGGAUGAAUCAGUUGUUCUCCAGUUUGAGACUCGCCUACAGAAGGGCCUUGAAUGCGGUGGUGCAUAUCUAAAGUAUCUUCGACCACAGGAGGCCGGUUGGAAACCGAAGGAAUUUGACAACGAUUCUCCAUAUUCUAUAAUGUUUGGUCCUGACAAGUGUGGGGCCACAAACAAGGUGCACUUCAUUUUCAAGCAUAAGAAUCCUAAGAGUGGGGCGUAUGUUGAACACCAUCUCAAGUUUCCUCCAUCUGUUCCUUCUGACAAGCUAUCUCACGUGUACACUGCUAUUUUAAAACCUGACAAUGAGUUGCAAAUUUUGAUUGACGGGGAACAGAAGAAAAAGGCAAAUUUCUUAUCAUCUGAGGAUUUUGAGCCUGCUCUUAUCCCUCCCAAGACAAUCCCAGAUCCUGAUGAUAAUAAACCUGAGGACUGGGACGAGAGAGAGAAAAUUCCAGACCCAAGUGCAGUAAAGCCAGAUGACUGGGAUGAGGAUGCACCCUUGGAAAUUGUUGAUGAAGAAGCUGAGAAACCUGAAGGAUGGUUGGAUGAUGAGCCUGAGGAGAUAGAUGACCCUGAGGCUACAAAACCAGAAGAUUGGGACGAUGAGGAGGAUGGUGAAUGGGAAGCCCCAAAGGUUACUAACCCAAAUUGUGAAACAGCCCCUGGUUGUGGUGAAUGGAAAAGGCCAAUGAAGAAGAAUCCAGCAUAUAAGGGAAAAUGGCAUGCCCCCCUUAUUGAAAACCCAGCUUAUAAGGGUAUAUGGAAGCCUCAGGACAUUCCCAACCCUGCUUACUUUGAACUUAAAAAACCUGAUUUUGAACCUAUUGCUGCUAUUGGUAUUGAGAUUUGGACAAUGCAGGAUGGCAUAUUGUUUGACAAUAUUUUGAUAGCUAAAGAUGAUAAGAUUGCCGCAUCAUACAGGGAGACUACAUGGAAGCCCAAGUUUAUUAUUGAGAAAGAAAAACAGAGGCAAGAAUCGGAUACUGGAUCAAGUGGUCUUGCAAUCAUCCAAAAGAAGGUGUUUGACCUGUUAUACAAGUUCGCAGACAUUCCUUUCCUGAGUGCCUACAAGUUUGAAAUACGUAAUCUCAUUGAAAAGGGUGAAUCGCAGCCGAAUCUCACUGUCGGAAUUCUUGUAGCCGUUGUGGUUCUUAUCGUGACAAUUUUCCUCAAUAUUAUAUUCGGUGGGAAGAAAAAGCCUGCAAGAGUGGAGAAGAAGACAAAAACACCAGCUGCAGAAACUUCCACUAACCAAGGCAGUGCAGAGAAUGAAGAAAACAAAGAGGAGGAAACAUCCAAGGGUCCACGUCGGAGGGUAAAGCGAGAUAAUUGAAAUGAUUUAAACCAGACAGGGGCGGCCGAACAAGAUCACUACCACAAAAAUUUUGAGCUUAGUUGGAGAUUAGGUUAAACAAAGUGGUAGGAGUGAAGAGAGAACUGCAAAAGUGGGGUUGAUGAAUGUUGAAUUGCGCGGGACGCAGCUUUGUCUGUGCGGCACGCAAUGAUUUUGCAAAUUGUUGGAGGAUAUCCCCAGCAACGAUAACAAAAACUUGUUAACAAUCUACCAAUGAAAACUUUUGAGAGUGUUGCGCGAGAUAACUAGUGCACUUGCUAGAUUGUCAACAAGUUUUUACAUCUUUCUAAUUGUAACAAGAAAUAAAAGAUGUUUGUAAUCAAUCAUCUCAAACUUACAAAUUAUCUCCAAUUUAAAAGUUAUUUUCCUUGACAAAUGAUUUCCAGUC